AUCAUUGGUCUGGGCAGUAAACAUAUUUGACAUUUGUCCAAAGUAAAAUAUUUUUGAAGGGACUUGCUCUUUGCCAUAUUAUUUUUUGGUUUUGCUCAAAUUAUCUUUAAUGACUAUCCUCUUUUGGCAUUCAGGUAAGUGGCCUGUGAGAAGACCCUAAGUGGACUGGUGGGCAGAAAAGCCAGAAGAAUACAUGUGCUGUUGAUCUGAAAGAAUGAGGAAAAGAAUUCAGAGUCACAAGAAAGCUACUUCUACCCAGGGGGGCUGGUCUGAGUGCAGUGACCAAGCAUACUUGGACAUCACCUGCAAGUGCAGUGGACACACUUUUCUUCUGCAUAUGACCUUUUUUCCUGUAUACUAACCCCAGUUUCUGCCCUGUCAGAGAACACUGACCUUUCUUUGGCCCAAAGAUGGACACCUCACUUUUCUUCAGCAUUUUGAAUCGAGGACAAUUUAGACUAUGGG
rnacentral:lncRNA from 1 species